ensembl:lncRNA
CGAGGAUGGCGGGAUUGAUAGCAUAGUUUCCACCGAGAGGUUGGGUAUGGAAGCCCCUCUCGGCCCACAGGUGUGCUGCCCCUGGGCUGUUCUCCUGAAUGGCAAAUUAACCAGAGCGAGAGAGAGUGAGAUGAGGUGGAAAUGGAAGAGAAUUGUGUGUGUGUGUGGGGCGGGGUCACAGAUACGACUGGUGUACUGUGUGUAUGUGCAUGGAUAUAUGCAUUUGGCCGAUGUGCUGGAUAACUUGCAGCCAGACACUAAAAACACAAUGUUCGAUGUUAUUCAAAUUGUUCAUGCCAUCUUGACAUGUCUUUUGUGCAAUUCAUUCUCAUGAGACUUCAAAUUCAAGAUGUAUGCAUGUUGCCUUAGUUCUCCCCUUAAAAACUGUGAAAUCCCAAUUCAUAAAUCUUACCAGUAGACACAACGAGCCUUGAACCACAGAGGGAUCAGCUUCUUCCAGAGUUUGAAGAUCAACGAAGGACAGAGUAAAGUGUGGUGUUGAACUGAAAUUUCUAACGCUCAAUUUUACAUUGUCUGCAUAUUUUUUUUUUACAUAUUUUGUCAAAUACGCUAUGAAUGGCAUGAACUUAAUGCGGAUAUGGCUGUAGGCCAACACUGAAACUGUACAAUACUAUUGCCGUAUUCUAAACAUGACUGGAAUGAGGCUUUUGUGUCCAUGAUGAGGGGUGUGUUUCACCAUUGGGGGACAGGUUAAGGAGACAUUCAAUGGGAUUGUUUUUUUUUUGUUUUUGAAGAGGAGAGUGAAACAAAUAUGAGAAAUAUAUAUAUAUACCUUUAGGGGAGUUUGUGCCUAUUAGAAUAUAGUACAAAUUGAGUGGGUUUUGCAUUCUUGUUAUUGGACAUUUGUCACGAAUAAGUCUUUUUUUUUUCUGUAAAUGCUCUUGGCUGAAAUGUAAAAAGGGAUUAGGUAUGUCCUUUAUGUGUUCCAAAAGGGCAGGUAUAUGAAUUUGACCAGAGUAGACAUCACAUUACCCAUGGCUAUAUUAGAUACAAAAUGUUGAAAACGUUUCCAUUUGUAAGAAAUACUCUCAAUAUCCUUGGUAACAAUUCACAGAAAGUUUUGUAUUCACUGAUGCCAAAGCCUCCUUCUUUCUGGCAAAACAACUCAUAUUCACAUUAACUGUGAUAUGCUAU